GAUGAACGCUAGCGGCAGGCUUAAUACAUGCAAGUCGUGGGGCAGCAUGAGUGUAGCAAUACAUUUGAUGGCGACCGGCAAACGGGUGCGGAACACGUACACAACCUCCCUAUAAGGGGGGAAUAGCCCAGAGAAAUUUGGAUUAAUACCCCGUAACAUAACGAUAGGGCAUCACAUUGUUAUUAUAGCUUCGGCGCUUAUUGAUGGGUGUGCGGCUGAUUAGAUAGUUGGCGGGGUAACGGCCCACCAAGUCUACGAUCAGUAGCUGAUGUGAGAGCAUGAUCAGCCACACGGGCACUGAGACACGGGCCCGACUCCUACGGGAGGCAGCAGUAAGGAAUAUUGGUCAAUGGACGCAAGUCUGAACCAGCCAUGCCGCGUGAAGGAUUAAGGUCCUCUGGAUUGUAAACUUCUCUUAUCUGGGACGAAAAAAGGCUUUUCUAAGUCACUUGACGGUACCAGAUGAAUAAGCACCGGCUAACUCCGUGCCAGCCGCCGCGGUAAUAC
rnacentral:rRNA from 1 species